GAGAGAGAGAGAGAGAGAGAGAGAGAGAGAGAGAGAGAGAGCAGCAGCAAGAGCACACAGCAACGACGGCGCUCUGAUUCAAAUCAGCCGCCGCGCGCCGUGCGCCAAUCGCCGCGCGACACCACGGUGGUUGUUGUCGCGCGCCCGCCAAUCGUCCGUGAUGCUGCACGUGAGGCGCGUCGCGACAUCGGGCCUUCUCGCCGAAGCACCGCCGUUCGCUGUCUGGCUAAGCCGCGGCGUCGCUGCGCCGGCCGCUGGGACGUCCCGACGCGCGGUGGGCGACCGCGCCAUCAACCGCGGCGAGGUGUCGCGCGAGGUGAUGCGCCAGAAUUACCUACGAGUGCUCGACAAGUGCAAGUCGAAGAAGCUUCCGCAGGAUGUGAACCCGAAGGGUGUCUUCGCAUGCAACGAGCUCGACUUGAAAGAGGUCCAAGUCUAUGGAUUCGAUUACGAUUACACGCUGGCGUGCUACAAGCCGUCCAUGGACCACUUGCUCUACAGCCUGGGACGCGAUAUGCUCAUCAAGAAGUACAAGUACCCGGAGGGAAUUGCCAAUCUGGAGUACAGAGAAAAUUUCGCCGUCCGCGGCCUCCAUUACGACAUCGAAAAGGGUCUUCUCCUGAAGCUCGACAGCUUCUUGCAAAUUCAAUUUGGCACCGUUUACCGUGGUUUACAUCAGGUGCCCGACGACGAGGUCCUCCGGAUCUAUAAAAAUAGGAUAAUACCGAUAGCCUACGUGGAAGCACCGCAUAAACACUCUCACAAGGACGCUCUGCAUCGCACAAAAAUGGUCCAAUUGGCCGAUCUAUUCUCUGUGCCAGAGAUGGUCCUAUUGUGCAACGUCACGGAGUAUUUCCUGCGCAAUCACAUCGAUUAUCACCCGGAGAUACUGUUUAGGGACGUCAAGAAUUCCGUGCAAAGCUGCCACCCUAUAAUGCACCAACUAGUCGUGGAAAAUGUAUCGGAGUACCUGGAGCAGAAUAAAGACCUGAAGCGAUUUUUCAAGCGGCUGCAAAAGGCGAAGAAGAAUAUGUUCCUGGUCACAAACAGUCCUUUCCACUUUGUCGACAAGGGUAUGCAGUUUCUGGUGGGCGAGAACUGGAAGGACUACUUCGACGUGGUGAUCGUACAAGCGAGGAAACCGAGAUUCUUCACCGAGGAGUCGCGCCCGCUGAGGAUCUACGAUGAAGUCAAGCAAACGCAACUCUGGGAUCGCGUUACCAGGCUCGACAAGGGCGUCAUAUAUCUUGAAGGCACGGUCAAGCAGUUGCAGGAUAUGACCGGAUGGCGGGGACAUCAGGUAUUAUACUUUGGCGAUCACCCAUACAGCGACUUGGCGGACGUGACCUUGGAACACGGCUGGCGAACGGGGGCGAUAAUCAAGGAAUUAACGCACGAGAUCGAAACUUUGAACGACCCGAAGUUCAAAGAGAACGCGAACUGGCUUCAGAUGUUAACCGGCCUGAUCGAGGAGCAUCAGGAUUACGAAGGGCCUGAAGUGCAGAACGUGCUGGACGAAUGGAUGGAGGAGCGGGAUCAACUGCGAAACGAGAUCAAGUCGGUCUUCAACAAGCAGUUCGGCUCGGUGUUCAGAACGUACCACAACCCGACUUAUUUCUCCCGGAGGCUCUUCCGAUUCGCCGACAUCUACAUGAGCACGAUCACGAAUCUCUUGGAAUAUUCCACCAGUCACACCUUUUAUCCCAGACGGGGAGUGAUGCCGCACGAGUACACCAGUUACUUCGUGUGAGCGUCCUCGAGAUUUUUCUCGAAGUUGUCAAUCUUCGUUGCCGCCGUUUGCAUGAAAUAAUUGUCGUCCCUCUCAUAGAAGAGGCAUUCACACACCUUGGUCCACGGUCACACGGCAUACGAUUCACGCACGCGAUUGCACUAUAUAAAUCUAGUAAACCGUAACAUUUGCCGGCGCAACGUCGUCUGUUUCUGGGGACGGCAAAACAACAAAGUACCAUUCGUCGCUAAACUAUACUAGCAAAUUAAGAGCAAAAAAAAUAAAGUUUAUCGUCAUGUGAACUAUGGCAACGGUGGUUCGGCGUAUCCUAGGCAUUUGAAAUGAACGUACACGUAUA
rnacentral:misc_RNA from 1 species